AGUUUCAGGGCAGAUAUGAUCGCUAUUAUUAUUACUAGCGUGAGACGAUUCUAACGGUGAUGAUAAUGCCAGUUCUCCCGCAAUAUUGAGUUAUCGCAUGUGUGCGUGCAUCAAAGAAACCACACUUAAUUAAAUAUUGUUUGAGUUUGCAA